rnacentral:ncRNA from 1 species
GAAAAGGCAAUGAGAAAGAGGAGUAUGCAGACUGGUCCGAAGAAGAGAGAACCGUUCACAGGCUGAGAGACGGUUUACGGGAAGUGGUUGCAGAAGGUAGCUUUGGAGCCGGGUAUCUGAAAAAGGGCGAGUAGGAUAUCACGGGGUGGUUUCCGUUAUAGAACUGUGAGAGAUACGAGAUGGAUUUAUUUCGUGGAACAAAGGUGGUACCGCGUUUAUACACGCCCUUUAC